AGCAGUAGCCACGGGAAUACGGAGGGUGCAAGCGUUAAUCGGAAUUACUGGGCGUAAAGCGCACGCAGGCGGUCUGACAAGUCAGAUGUGAAAUCCCCGGGCUUAACCUGGGAACUGCAUUUGAAACUGUCAGGCUGGAGUCUUGUAGAGGGGGGUGGAAUUCCAGGUGUAGCGGUGAAAUGCGUAGAGAUCUGGAGGAAUACCGGUGGCGAAGGCGGCCCCCUGGACAAAGACUGACGCUCAGGUGCGAAAGCGUGGGGAGCAAACAGGAUUAGAUACCCGUGUAGUCCCUGUCUCUUAUAA
rnacentral:rRNA from 1 species